rnacentral:lncRNA from 1 species
AGAAUAUUCGAGGCUCAGUUUCAUUACCUUGAGGAGUAUCUAAGGACGAUUUCUGGGAAGACUCCAUAUCAAAAGAAUCGAUGAGAUUGAGUUCUGGCUUUGAAUCUUUGCUAGUAAGACUUAGAUCCAAAACAAGAUCUUGGUCUUGUUCAUCAUCAUCUUCUUCUUCCAAUUCUUCUUCUCCUUCUGCUAACUGUUUCACCUCUUUUUUACAGUCCAUGGAGGAUUUGAGUGAUGGGUUUGAAGGAGCAUUUGAAACUGAGAUGAUGCUUGAAGUUUCAGAAAGACAUACCUCUGAUCUUGGAGGCUCCAUGUGAUGAAUUAUGAAGGGAGGAUUCCCUCUU